UAAAAUUGCCUCAAGGCAUUUUGGGGAGUGGGCUAGAAGGUGCCAUUCCUCCAACCUCAAACUCACCAGGAAGCAGGUACACUUAAAGAGUGGAGGCCAGAGAGGGAUUCCAUAAGAGCUCCUCCUUCACUUCCGUACAGCUCUGCUGAGCAAAUUAACUUGAGUUUUAUUUAUUUUCUGGUUUUAUUGCAUAAAUAUUUAUUUUUUUAAAUAUAAAGUAAUUUUACCAAAUAAUGAAAACAUAAGGAAAUUGAGGUUAGAGGGAGGUGCUUCAAGAGAGGUUAUAGGGUGGAAGAUUUGAUACCGAAGAGGUUAAGGUGCAAUAAGAAGGGAAGGAUUUAGGGAGAAAGGUCAUGCAUGAUUGGAGGAUGCAUGAUGUGGUGUAUGAGGUUUGCACGUUGCCUCUUAACAAUUUCUAUCCUUAAGAUAAAAACUCUCAACUUUCUCAGAAAAGUCAUGUGCCUGUAUAAAGAAGCUAUUGGUUUCCUUUGGAACUUUUUUCUUCAUUUAAGAUUAUAUGUAGUAUUACUUGAAAUGUAGGAUUAUUGCUAAGGUGGGCAUUUUAGUUAAUAGGGGUCUAUGGGUUCUAAUUUUGGAUGGAGUCCAGAGAAGGGACGGUUAUUUCUACAAAUCCUCUCUCCCCUCACUGGACCAAGCAGCUUCUUUCUCUGUAGUAAACUCACUUUUUAAAAAUAUUCCUAUCACCCAUCUGGUGGGAGAGCCUCCCAAGUGAGCAACCAAAAAUCUUGGUUCUUGGUAGAGGUUCAUUAUUUCUUCAGUUUGUUGUUUAGAGGAUUUUAGAUGUUGAUUUUUAUUUUGCUUUAAGCCAUAGCUUUAAAAGAACUUAGAGAUGUUUAUAGCUAACUUGGAAUUUAUAACCUCAGUGCUGGAAAACGAUUUUCUUCCUGAACGAUUAUUAUCCAGUUGACGUGUGUUAUUACAUGAGGGUCAUCUCAUGCUUGUUUAUGUCUGUUUACCAUGUCAAGUUACCCUUGUUACCACGUUACCAUAGUGUUACGUCAGGUGCCCCCCUGAGGGACUUGAACUUUCCUGUGCACCGUCACGAAGCAGUUGCUGGUUAUCUUGUUGGGUUCCUAAGGCCCCUGUUGGGUAUAAUGUGUUCAGACUUGUGUAUAUGUAAACAACACUGCCUCUGCUGGGUGGAAUCUGCAUCAAUGGUUUUCUUUGAAACUUUAGAGUUCCAUCUCAUCAGGCUGCCUUUCCUUGUUGGAGAAGACAGAGAGAACUCCCUAAAUGUUGAGACUGAGAGUGGAGGACUCACUCUCCACUCAGACAGCAGGGAAAGACAGGAAAGAGUGUGAGACCAGGACAUGAUGCCUCUUUGGUGCUUACAUAUUUCAAGCCCUUCAGUCAAACCCUUGCCUAUGACAGUAUUUUGGUUCUAAUUUCUCACCAUUCAUUCCCUCUGGUUGCUGAGGCUUUGGGUACAAAACUCGCAGAGCCUUGGGACAGGGCUUUGCCGUGACGGGGGACUGUCCUCCAACUGCACCUCUGCUCCGACUCAGACCAGUGGGUUGGCAGUGGUGCAGCAUGGAAUUUUUUCCAGUUCUCAGUGACCAGGUUGUGAAUAAUUUCCAAAUGGAUUUUUUCUAUUAUUGUUACUACGGUUCUUUGUUUUGAAAUAAAAUUCUGAAUGUACAUAUAUAACAUCACAGGCUUGGUUUUUUGUGUGUGUGGGGGCGGGGGGGACCUUCCUCUGUAACAAGUCAGCUUUAAAUACCUUGUGGCUGCUCAGUACUUGUUGUAACCUAAAUAAGUUUCUUAUAUGAGAGUUUUGUACAAAUGAAAAUAGCCAUACUCAUUUAUUAUGCGCAGAUGAAAUGGAAAAGCCUUAGUGCAUUGCCUUGCAUACUUAAUAAAUUAUGUUGCUUGCGUUCACCAGUGAGAAUUCUUCUGAUUUUUCUCUUUUCUAUUUCCUUUCUCCUCCAAUCUUUGAUCUCUGAAAUUUAUCCUACAUUAAUGUCAGGGUAUUCAUAUAUAUACAUAUGUAAUAUAUGUGUAUUAUAUGUUUUCCCAAUGGCUCAGCAGUAAAGAACCUGUAGUACAGGAAAUGUGAGAGAUGCAGUUUCAGUUCCUGGGAGGGGAAGAUAUUCCCUGGAGUAGGAAACAGCAACCUACUCAAGUAUUUGCCUGGAGAAUCCCAUGGACAGAGGAUCCUGGUAGGCUACAGUCCAUGGAAUUGCAGAGUUGGACACAAUUGAGCAAGCACAUUGUAUAUGUAUCACAUACAUACAUUUAUAUCACAUCUAUAUGUAUACACAUGGAACACAUCCACGUUUAUAUCCCUGUACUGCUGAAAAAUUCAAUAACUUCCAAUCAGUUUCUACCCUGGCUUAACACAACCCCCCCAGGGGCAGGGUCCCUGCUACCUCUCCGUCUGAUUCACUGUUGUUGUUUUUUUAAUUUUUAUUUUACAUUCAGCUACAGCUGAUUUUGUGAAGAUAAGUGAAGGACAAGAAAGCAUGGCAUGCUGCAGUCCAGGGAGUCACAAAGAGUUGGACGUGACUUAGGGACUAAACAAAAAUAGCUAAUUUACAUGUUAGUUUCAAGUGUGAAAGUGAAAGAAAGUGAAAGUGAAGUCGCUCAGUCGUGUUCGACUCUUUGCAACCCCAUGGACUAGCCUAUCAGGCUCCUCUGUCCAUGGGAUUUUCCAGGCAAGAGUGCUGGAGUGGAUUGCCAUUUCCUUCUCCAGGGGAUCUUCCCAACCCAGGAAUCAAACCCAGGUCUCCCGCAUUGCAGGCAGACGCUUUACCAUCUGAGCCACCAGGGAAGCAAAGUGAUUCAGUUACACAUAUAUCCAUUCUUUUUUUCAGAUUCUUUUCCCAUAUAGGUUACUACUGAAUAUUGAGUACAGUUCCAUGUGUUAUACAGUAGAUCCGUAUUAUUUUAUAUAUGGUAGUGUGUGUGUGUUAACCCCAAACUCCUAAUUUAUCCCUCCCUCCCCAUGUUGUUUACCCUUUGGUUAACCAUAGAUUUGUUUUUGAAGUCUGUGAAUCUGUUUCUGUUUUGUAAAUAAGCUCAUUUGUAUCUUUUUUUUUUUUUUUGAGGUCACAUAUAUAAGUGACAUUUGUCUUCCUCUGUCUGAUUUCACUUAGUAUAAUCAUCUCUAGGUUCAUCCUAAUUCAAUACUUCUUAAUUUACGUAAGGAAACACCUCAUACCCACGAUGGGCGCUCAACAUUUUGAUGCUUUUCCUUCAUGUAGUUAUGAAACUCCCUUGCCCAGUUUCCAUUCAUUUACUACAGAUAAUCUCAAAGGCUACUCUCUUAUUUCUACGAGGCCCAAGUAGGAGUGCCAUAAAGCCUUCCUUGCUCCCAACAUAACCUUACACUGUGGUUCUUUGUGUGUUAGGGGUGGAAUGAAAGGAUGGAAUACCUGGCUGUCAGCAAGUGCAUCAUAUUAUCCAAAACUGGUUGCUUUAGCUCCUUUUUUCCACCUUUGCUUCCUUAUAAUUCAUUCUCCACAUGACUAGAGUGUUCUUUUAAAAUCAGAUCAUGUUGGGACUUCACUGGUGGUCCAGCGGUUAGGCAUUCACACUUCCACUGGAGGUGUGGGCACGGGUUUGAUCCCAGCUUGGGGAACGAAGAUUCCAUAUGCUGCGUGGUGUGGCCAAAAGAUAAUUUAAAAAAAAUCAGAACAUGUCAGUUCCUUCUGCAAAACCUUCCAAUUCCACUUAAAGCAGUCACGCUUAAAAUAGUAUUCAGGCUCUUCAGGGGACGGUAUCUAGAGGAUUUCAGAAUGGCCCAGGGUUCAACCUACAUAGUUGGCUGUCCUACAACACAACCUCCAACAAAACUAGGCUGUCUGGGACUCCGGGUGAUAGAAUUACAAAAAGGUUGGGGAAGCAUCAAAGCCUACAGAUGGUAGGGGGCUCAUGCUGUGAGAUCUGAAGAUCUAAUAUGGUGGUCUGAAAUGAAAAAUCAUGUCAACAGGACCUAUGGUGGGUCCAUGGGAGCCAAAUGUGUCCUCAACAGGAUCAAGCAGGAUUUCCUUCUUGAGCAGAAAAUCAUGAAAGUGUUGAAAGCAAAAGCAAAAGCACAACACUUAAGAGUCAGAAAGCUAAAUUUAAAAAGAUUUCUAGGGACUUUCCUGGUUGUCCGGUGGUUGACUUGGAGCUUUCAAUGUUCUUGGAUUCAAUCCCUGGUUGAGGAACUAAGAUCCCCACAUACCAUACACCCAAAAAAUAAAAACGGAGGUUUUUGG
rnacentral:lncRNA from 1 species